rnacentral:rRNA from 1 species
UUGGUGACCAGCGGAGGGAUCAUUACCGAGUUUACAACUCCCAAACCCAAUGUGAACGUUACCAAACUGUUGCCUCGGCGGGGUCACGCCCCGGGUGCGUCGCAGCCCCGGAACCAGGCGCCCGCCGGAGGAACCAACCAAACUCUUUCUGUAGUCCCCUCGCGGACGUAUUUCUUACAGCUCUGAGCAAAAAUUCAAAAUGAAUCAAAACUUUCAACAACGGAUCUCUUGGUUCUGGCAUCGAUGAAAAACGCAGCGAAAUGCGAUAAAGAAUGGGAAUUGGCAAAAUUCAGUGAAUCAUCGAAUCUUUGAACGCACAUUGCGCCCGCCAGUAUUCUGGCGGGCAUGCCUGUCCGAGCGUCAUUUCAACCCUCGAACCCCUCCGGGGGAUCGGCGUUGGGGAUCGGGACCCCUCACACGGGUGCCGGCCCCGAAAUACAGUGGCGGUCUCGCCGCAGCCUCUCCUGCGCAGUAGUUUGCACAACUCGCACCGGGAGCGCGGCGCGUCCACGUCCGUAAAACACCCAACUUUCUGAAAUGUUGACCUCGGAUCAGGUAGGAAUACCCGCUGAACUUAAGCAUAUCAUAG